AUUUGGAUGUCCAAUCUAGCUUUCUUGGACUUCAAAAUUCAUCUCAACCCAACUACAGAGUGGAUCAACAAGCUUGGACAACCUAAAAGAGCUCAAAUAGAUCACUAAAAGAGAAGGAAGCUCAAAUCGUCCACCACAUGCUCAAAACCGACCAAGGACUUGUUCUUCAUCUACCUCAACCACAUGCCUUGAAUUUAGGAAAAACCAAAUCAGCUUUAUGGAGAUCAAGGGGUCGACACCAACAUGGAGAAAAUUAAGGAAAAAUUGACGCCAAAAAUAGCAAGAGAUAUUAGGGACUCACUAGUAUAAAUAGGGGCAAGCAUUUGAGAGGAAAAUAGCACUAGCAAGAAGCUAAACACUUAUCAAAAAUUGAGAGCAGAAAACACUUAUCAAAAAUUGAGAGCAGCAAGUAAGCAAUAACUUGAUAGCAUUUAGGUGAGAAUGACACCUAGGAGAGGGGGAGAACUAUCGUGAGAAGCAAGCAAGAAACAGUUGCGGAGAAUCACUGAAUUCGGUUGUUAUCUCUUCUUAUUGUGCACUAGCCAUGGAUAAUCCCCCUCGGAACAAAAGAAGGAAAAAAAGUUCUUUCAUCUCAACUAUUUCCGAAAGCUUCCAUGGGCAUAGGUUUCAAAUAAAAGCUAUAAGAGUUUCAUGCUCAAGCAUCCAACUCUUAGAUUCAACUUGGAAACUUUUACAAUCUUAUUUUGUAUGUAUAUAUAUGUUUUAAAGUCAUACGGCAUGUACCUAAAUAGGUAGGCUUGUUGUGUAAGUAAGUUUUGACACUUUUGAUAAGUGACAUGUAAUGUUAUAUUGGUUGAGCUUUACCUUUUGAUUACUAGUUAGUUAUA